CACGUAGGGGGCAAGCGUUGUCCGGAUUUAUUGGGCGUAAAGAGCUCGUAGGUGGUUCGGUAAGUCAGGUGUGAAACCUCCAGGCUCAACCUGGAGACGCCACUUGAUACUGCUGUGACUGGAGUCCGGUAGGGGAGCGUGGAAUUCCUGGUGUAGCGGUGAAAUGCGCAGAUAUCAGGAGGAACACCAGCGGCGAAGGCGGCGCUCUGGGCCGGUACUGACGCUGAAAUACGAAAGCGUGGGGAGCAAACAGG
rnacentral:rRNA from 1 species